rnacentral:lncRNA from 1 species
AAAUGAUGAAUUCCACAAAGGAAUUCCUAUCCAUGGCCCCUGCUUGGAACUAGACAGGAACAUUCCUCCAGCCUCCAUCAUCCUCCCCUUCCCCUACUCUGAGGAAUCUUCUCACCUUUCAUUAGACUCUAAGUUCCUUGGAGAGUCAGUACUCACGGGGAGUACUUUUAGGAUCAACACUUGUGGACGGGAGAAGAUGGAAGCAGGACUGGGUAGAAGAAGAAGCUGGGCUGCAAUGAAGUCCCAUUGAAGACCUCAGCUGACCUUGCAUGGAGCCUGCAUCCCAUCCAGGAUACCUGUUACAUUUACUUGUCAUAUCUCCUCAAGCUUCUCUUGGCUAUGACAGUUUUUUAGACUUUCCUUGAUUUUGAUGACCUUGACAGUUUUGAGGAGUUCUGGGCCCGAUGUUGCAGAAUGCCUCCUUAUUGAAAUUUGUCUGAUGUUUUCCUCAUGAUUAGAUUGGGGUUGUGAGUUUUGGGGGGAAGGUAAUAGAGGAAAAGUGUCAUCUUCAUCACAUCAUAUUAAAGGUACAUAUUAGUGACAUGAUUUAUGAUUCUUGAUGUUGAUUUAUAACUGUUGAUGAACUCUUGAUCACCUGGCUGAAGCUGUAUUUGUCAGAUUUUUCCACUGUAAAGUUAUUUUUUCUCCUUUUUUCCAUGCUGUACUCUUUGCAAAGAAGUCGCAGUGCACAGCCCACACUUCAGGAGUGGAAGUUAUGUUCCACCUCCUUUAGAGUGGAGUGUAUAAAUAAAUUAUCUGGGACUCUUCUGCACUGGAGAUUCUUCUCUUCUUUCCCAUUAAUUUAUUCAAUCAUUUAUUUAUAUCAGUAUGGACUCAGAUAUUUAUUUUAUACUUUGGACUAUAACUCAUUACUACUUUACUUAUUUUUUUGCUGAAAGUGUUCCAGCUUUGGCCUUUGGGAGCUCUUUCAGUUGGUUCCUGCGCCUCUUUGAUGUACUCCAGUCACUGUGGGUUUUGGUUUUGGGGUUGACUUUUUUUUCUUGUUAGCACUUUCUUACUUUCUAGAGGAUGUUGAAUUUUUGAUGGAAUGUUUUAAACAGAAAGAAGAGAGAGUAGUCUUUAAAGAAAGAGCUUGAGAAUACAGCACACAAGCCAAGUGAUCAAAUGAAGAGAAGUUUUCUUUUGAAAUCCAACACCUAGUAGAAACCAAUGACCUCAAUGAUGUAUUCACUCAUUUAAAAAAAUUGACAGCCUAUUAUAUGGCAGACACAGUUCUGGCAACUGAGGAUACAGAUAAUCCUCCCCCACCCCCAACCCCCCACGAUAUAACUGACAUUCCAUUUGCGUAACAUAGAUAAAUACAGGCAGUUCUCACUUUGGUGAUGACAUGCAUGCAUUUCUCUUACCAUAGUUUAGUUAAGUAACAUCAGUCCCACAACACAAGUCUCAAAAUUUAGGUGCCAUAGUAAAUUUAAUGUAAUUUGCAUAGAGUACAAACUUCUGGGCUAGCUCUUCAGUCCACAAAUCACCAUGGUAAUAAAAGCUCGUCAUGAUCAGUAACCAGUCAUGUUGUGUCUUUCAAAGUCUGUUGGUGAUUGGUCCCUAUGGCUCUCCUACUCAAACAGCAAAUCCUAUAGUUGGGUUGCCUCCUUGCCUCCCAGUGAUGAGCCCAUAUGACAUUUUACAGAAAUGAAUAAUUGAAAGAGGAAUUUUGCAACCAAGAUGAAAGUGCAGUGAAGAAAUGAGAAGUGAAAAUGCUGCAAGUGAGGUUCAAAUUGAAUGUGAGUGGAAUUCUAGAAGUACAAAUAGUUGACUGUGGCAAUGUAGACCCUGAUGCAGGAACUUCAGAUAGGCAGCCAGAGGGAGGUAGUAAACGCAAACUGCCACAAAUGGGAGAGGAGUGGUAAUAAAAGGGCUGAAGAUGUCCCAAAGGUUGAAAUGCCAGCAAAAAACUUCACAUGAAAGGAUCUUCUGGAGUGAUUCCACAAUAUUGAAAAUUCAAGGGAUAAGAUGUUGGAAGCUAGUCCAAACUUAGAAAGAUGGCAAAACACCAAGGUAUAAUAGAAAUGAUGCUUGCUGGCUAGGCAUGGUGGCUCAUGCCUGUAAUCCCAGCACUUUGGGAGGCCAAGACAGGUGGAUCACCUGAGGUCGGGAGUUCAAGACUAGUCUGAUCAACAUGGAGAAACCCCAUCUCUACUAAAAAUACAAAAUUAGCUGGGUGUGGUGGUACAUGCCUGUAAUCCCAGCUACUCAGGAGGCUGAGGCAGGAGAAUCACUUGAACCCUGGAGGCGGGGGUUGCAGUGAGCCAAGAUCACGACAUUGCACUCCAG